rnacentral:rRNA from 1 species
CAAAGGAGGCGACUCCGGAGACGGAUGGGCAUGCGUGACAUUAGCUUGUUGGCGGGGUAACGGCCCACCAAGGCGACGAUGUCUAGGGGUUCUGAGAGGAAGGUCCCCCACACUGGUACUGAGACACGGACCAGACUCCUACGGGAGGCAGCAGUGAGGAAUAUUGGUCAAUGGGCGAGAGCCUGAACCAGCCAAGUCGCGUGAAGGAUGACGGCCCUACGGGUUGUAAACUUCUUUUGUCAGGGAGCAAUUGGGUCCACGUGUGGGCUUAGCGAGAGUACCUGAAGAAAAAGCAUCGGCUAACUCCGUGCCAGCAGCCGCGGUAAUACGGAGGAUGCGAGCGUUAUCCGGAUUUAUUGGGUUUAAAGGGUGCGUAGGCGGAAUAUCAAGUCAGCGGUAAAAAUUCGGGGCUCAACCCCGUCGUGCCGUUGAAACUGAUGUUCUUGAGUGGGCGAGAAGUAUGCGGAAUGCGUGGUGUAGCGGUGAAAUGCAUAGAUAUCACGCAGAACUCCGAUUGCGAAGGCAGCAUACCGGCGCCCAACUGACGCUGAAGCACGAAAGCGUGGGUAUCGAACAGGAUUAGAUACCCUGGUAGUCCACGCAGUAAACGAUGAAUGCUAAUUGUCCGGAGGGAUUGACCUCUGGGUGAU